GAUUCUUUGAUGUAUCGGUUGAGGAACUUUUGUAUGUGUUAUCCUAUACUGCGUUAGUGCUUGUUUUCUUCGAAUUGUAAGUAUUAAAGGGUUUAGCAGUUACCAUAAUCGUAAUUCUUAGGAAUGGAGCGGAGCCGGCUCUUUUUGAAAGAACAAUUAGAUAAACUGAGAAUAGUCGCACAAAAGCUUUGCAGAGCAACUGAGACCUACAUCUUCCUUAGACAGUGCAAAAUCAACGAUGUUUACCCCACAUCCAUACAGAAGAUAACACUCCCGGUUAACUCAAGAAGAGUACUUAACAACACUAAGAAAAUUUGCCUCAAGGUGGCGAUAGCAGACUCGGCCAGAAGAAAGCAUAGGCUUGAACAGGAAAAGAAACAGAUACUAAACAGCCUACCAAACAAUAAUGAAAAUACA
rnacentral:lncRNA from 1 species